GAUCGACUCUCUGGAGAGUUCUGGAUAAACACAGAGGCCGAAGGUGCAACAUAUAGUUCUUUAUAAGCAGUUAAUAAUGGAUUACAAGACAAUAUUAUGACUUCUUAUAAAGAGGGUAUAUGAAUCUCUCAGGCAAAAGGACAGAGAAGGCAUA
rnacentral:ncRNA from 2 species